rnacentral:lncRNA from 1 species
GCUCCCCCAAAGGCUGAGGUUCGGGGUGCCUCGUCCUCCGCUGCCUACGGCGCGACGCACACGGAGCACACCAGCCCGGCCGCCCCUGCAGUCCUGCCGGCCGCGGCGUGCCGGGCGGCGGGCCCCGGGGGGCGGGGGGACCCCAUCCCGCGCCCCCGACCCCCGCGCCGCGCAGCCCCGCGCCUGAGCGCCCCCCCCCCCCCCGGCCCCGCGCGUCCGCCGCGCCGGCUGGCAGGUGACCGGGUCCCGCGAACCCGCGCGCGCGGACUCCCGCCGCGGGCCCCCCGCGUCCCCGGGCGCGGCCCCUUACCUCGGAGCUGGCCGGGGCGACCCCGCGGGGCCGGGCGCGGACUGGGCCGGGGAGACGCGCCUCCCGCCGCCGCCGCCGCCGCCGCCGCCGCUGGGAGCCGAGGCGGCGAGCGGGCGCGGCGAGCUCCUCCCGGGCGGCGGCGGGAGGCGCUGCUCUCGCUGCCGCCGCCGCCGCCGCCGCCGCCACCGCGGCCGCGGGUCUCGGAGCUGCGCGGCCGCUGCUGCCCGGCCGCCGGCGCGCGGGUCCCUCGGCUCCUGCGGGAGGCCGGCUGCUCGCGCGGCAAACUCUUCCGCACGCAGAGCCGGUGGGGAGAGCCGCCGCCGCCUCUUCCUCCUCCCCCGCCCUCCUCCCGCCUCCCGCCUCCCGCCGCCGCCUCCUCCUCCCUCGCCUCCUCCUCCUUCCCUCCGCUCCUGCUGCCGGGUCUCGCCCGGGCGCACGCGGGGCCUCGGCCCGCCCCGGCCUGGGACUCGCACGCUGCGGCCCCCGGACCCCCGGCUCCCCUGGGCGGCGCGGCGGCCGGCGCCUCUGCCGGGCCGCGGGGGGCGCGGGGUCGGGGCCCGGCCGGGGGCGCGGGGUCGGGCUGGCGCGGGCGGCGGGCGGCGGGCGGCGGGCGCGGGCGGCGGGUGUGCGUGCUUGGAGGUGAACUGGCCGGGAGCGGCCGCGGGCGGGCGCGGGGCCGCCGGCCGAAGUCCCGUUCAAGUUGUCGCCGGGGGCGGCCGGGACAGACCCUCGCGGGGCCCGCUGCCACCCCGCGGCCCCGUGCGGGGAGGGGGGAGCACACGACGGCGGUCCCCUCCACGCCGUCCCGGCGGGGCAGGUCUGCGCGCGGACUCCGAGCCCCGGCACAGGCGCGUCUCCGCGCUGCGACCCCCGAGAUGCCCGAGGAGCGGGGGCGGCCGGGCCCCUGGGGUUGGGGAGAAGCGGGAGAGCGCUGCUGGGGAGGAAUAAUCCGCGCUGCUUCCGAGGAGAACGUAGCCGGCCGGGAAAAUGGGUCAAGGAUGGAGAGGCUGCGGCUGAGCGCCCCCCGCCCCCCGGGCAGCAGCGCGCGGGUGGGGGCUGCGGCCGGGAGCGCGCCCUCGGAGCUCCGCGCGGCCUCUCCCUCCCCUCCCCCGCUGCCCUCCUCUCCUUUUGCACCAGUGCAGGAAAUGUUCCACUGA